AAAGUUUCAACAACGGAUCUCUUGGUUCUCGCAUCGAUGAAGAACGCAGCAAAGCGCGAUAGUUAGUGUGAAUUGCAGACGUGAAUCAUUGAGUUUUUGAACGCACAUUGCACCUUCUGGUAUUCCGGGAGGUAUACUUGUGCGAGCGUCAUUUCAUCUUCAUAAAG
rnacentral:rRNA from 1 species